UAGACCCCUGAUACUUCCAUACGAUUCUAAAAACCAGAUAACAAGGUUCAAACUCAAUAGAGUGAAUACCAAAUUUAUAUAGCUGUCUGAACUUUGAUACCCAAAAACAGAAAAAAAGACAUACGAGAAUUCCGCAGAGUUUAUGUUAUGACUAUGAAUAUGGCUUCGUCAGUUAUUGUCCAUAACAUGUGCUCCAUUGCACUAAACUCUCCAAAAUGUUACAAAAAUGAAAAUUUAACUCUCACCCACUCCCAAUUUCUUUCCUCCAAAUCCCUUUUGAAUUUAAACAGACCUUCUUUGCUCUCAACUAUCCAUAUUAAGAAUCGUACAAUCCAAUCAUCUCGCUCAGCAGCAUCCAUUGUCUUCGCUGCACAGUCCAACUUUUUGAAAGUUAUUCAAACGGUGUGGAAGGUUGGAAAAGAUGGAGUUGAGGCAGGAACCAAUUUGGUGCCCGAUUCUGUACCCAGACCAAUAGCAAGGAUUUCUGUCACAGUAGUUGCACUGACUGUUUCACUCUUUGUACUCAAGUCUUUCCUGUCUACAGCUUUCUUUGCGCUGGCCACGAUGGGACUCAUAUAUUUCGCAUUCAUAGCCUUGAAUAAAGAUGAUGGGCCAAAAGGGAGUGGAGGGCCUGGAGGCACCACCUCUACAGAGGACUCUCUAGAAGAAGCGAAAAGAAUAAUGGAAAAGUACAAGUAAAAUAGGCAAAGAGUAAGUAUGCUGGUUCUCCAUUAUUCAAUUUACAUAUGCUACUGUUUUCUCCUGUAAAGUUGUGGCAGACAUGAGGGAACAAGAAAGGAAUACAAGUAUACCUUCUUUUCUUUUAAAUUGCUUGAAUCAUAUCUCAACUUUAUAGAUGCUUCUAUGCUUUGCCAAAAUCAUAUCUUGAGUUCUGCAAAGCUUUAUAAUAUGUCCAAUGUUUUUAAGUUGAGUCAAA